CAAUAGCGUAUAUUAAAGCUGUUGCGGUUAAAAAGCUCGUAGUUGGAUUUCUGUCAAGGACAACUGGUCCGCCCUCCGGGUGAGCACAUAGUUUGGUCUUGGCAUCUUGCUGGAAACUGUUGCUGCGCUUGGUUGUGUGGUGCAGCUUUCAGCACUUUCACUUUGAGGAAAUUGGAGUGUUUCAAGCAGGCACAUGCCUUUGGACACAGUAGCAUGGAAUAUUUAGAUUGGGCUUUUGCUCCAACUUGUUGGUUCCUGGAGCUGAGGUGAGAAUCAAUGGGGAUUGUUGGGGGCAUCCGAAUUUAGCCGUCAGAGGUGAAAUUCUUGGAUCUGCUAAAGACGGACAACUGCGAAAGCGUUUGCCCAGGAUGUUUUCAUUAA
rnacentral:rRNA from 1 species